CCUACGGGGGGCUGCAGUGAGGAAUAUUGGUCAAUGGGCGGGAGCCUGAACCAGCCAAGUCGCGUGAGGGAAGAAGGUACUGAGUAUUGUAAACCUCUUUUGCCAGGGGGCAAAGGCGGCCACGGGUGGCCGUAAGAGGGUACCUGGAGAAAAAGCAUCGGCUAACUCCGUGCCAGCAGCCGCGGUAAUACGGAGGAUGCGAGCGUUAUCCGGAUUUACUGGGUGUAAAGGGCGUGUAGCCGGGCUGACAAGUCAGAUGUGAAAUCCCGGGGCUCAACCCCCGAACUGCAUUUGAUACUGUUGAUCUUGAGUAUCGGUGAGGCAGGCGGAAUUCCUAGUGUAGCGGUGAAAUGCGUAGAUAUUAGGAGGAACACCGGUGGCGAAGGCAGCCUGCUAGACGACAACUGACGGUGAGGCGCGAAAGCGUGGGGAGCAAACAGGAUUAGAUACCCGAGUAGUC
rnacentral:rRNA from 1 species